CCUAGGGUGGCAGCAGUGGGGAAUAUUGGACAAUGGAGGAAACCCUGAUCCAGCGACGCCGCGUGAGUGAAGAAGUAUUUCGGUACGUAAAGCUCUAUCAGCAGUAAAGAAAAUGACGGUACUUGACUAAGAAUCCCCGGCUAACUACGUGCCAGCAGCCGCGGUAAUACGUCGGGGACCAGCGUUAUCCGGAUUUACUGGGUGUAAAGGGAGCGUAGACGGCAGCGCAAGUCUGGAGUGAAAUGCCGGGGCCCAAUCCCGGAACUGCUCUGGAAACUGUGAAGCUGGAGUGCAGGAGAGGUAAGCGGAAUUCGUGGUGUAGCGGUGAAAUGCGUAGAUAUCAGGAAGAACACCGACUGCGAAGGCAGCUUACUGGACUGUAACUGACGUUGAGGCUCGAAGGCGUGGGUAGCAAACAGGAUUAGAUACCCGAGUAGUC
rnacentral:rRNA from 1 species